GGCCAACCCAAGCUGCAUUAGAAAACAAUAAAAAGAAUACUGUAAAUUCAACAUUCAGGAGGCCAGUUGGAUUUGUCAGUCACCGACCAGCUCCUCUGAAAGCUGGUACGGGUGACUUUACUUCAAAAAUAGAGACAGAUUGCAAUGUACGUCAAAAUGUGCAGAAAAAUUGCAGGUAAGACCUUAAAUGACCUAAUACACCUGUAUAAGGUCAGGACUUUGUGGAAGGCCCAGUCAAUCCUGGCUGAUCCUAGCCACCUCCUGUUUAAGUUGUUUCCAUCUGGCCACAGAUCAAAUUUGCCAACAUGCAGGAGAAACAGAUUUAAAAACGAAUUUGUCCCGGCAGUCAUUGGCCCUUUAAAUAAUGUGAUUUUUAUGUUGUAAUCAUUGUUGCCUGGGUUUUUAUUUCACCCAUUAUUAUGUUAUUUCUAUUGUCCAUUUAAUAUUGUUCGUCAGAUGUUUGUGUGAAUAGUGCUGGCUACACAAAUCGGACCUUUGGAAUAAUAAAGACAUCCUUGGUUCUUGAGCCUGUUGUUGGGUUAAUGUAUACCUAUGAAUAUCCCUAACUAUAUAUGACAGUUCCUGGUACAGUGUGUGUCAAAGCACAAUCAUCCUUCUUCCUGGUUCAAAUUGCCAGUUUCUUGACGCACUGACACAGACCUGCUCGUGCACAUCAGCCGUAUGCAUGUCAGUGGCACUAUCUGAGGCUGAGAAUAGUUGCCAGGUACUGUGAUAAACAAAGACAACAGAACUGAAUUGUGAGGGAGUACUGUCACUAUAAUUGAGUAUGUGCUCUGACAGCCAUACCAACAAGCCAAGCUCUUUGUAGCCAGGGUCAGGGUGCACGGCUCAUUGCUCCAAAGACUGUGGUUUGAGGUCAGGGAUCCUUCAGCACAUGGUGUAUAUGUGUGAGGGAUACCAGUGUGUGGGCCUGCAUCCAGAAGGGGAAGUCAAUGUGACAGUGCCGUCACCAUGAUGAAAUAUAACACUGCCUGUGGUGUAUUAUUGCUUAAACAUUGCAGCAGAUAUACAAACCGUCAGCACUCAAGACAUCAAAACUCUGUCUUACGUUCAGGUAGGUGGCAUGUCAAAUUGACUCCCACAUUAAGGCCCAGACCCAGGGUACCCCAGCACAAUAUUCCCAGAGCAUCACACUCCCUCGACUGGGUUUUGUUGUCUCCACAAUGCCAUCACUUCUUAGCUGUCUACAUGACACAAAUUAAACUUAUCUGAGGAUGAAUAAGAUGUAUCGUAGCAGAUGACAUUCUUCCAUCUGUGUCAGGUCCACGUCUGACAUGUGUGUAUCCAUUGUAGACAUUAAGCAGCUCCAUAUGCAGUCGGGUAUGAUAACACUAUUUAAUGUGACCCAUUUCAUGUUCACUGUCACUGGGUCAUGUUUUGUCCCUCCUUGGACCACUGAGGGUAGUCAUCUGGCAAUAAUAAUUUGGCCCUUGUCAGACUCAGAUUUCUCUCAUAUCCAGUAUGUCUCAUGGACUGAUCUCAUCUAGUUAUUAGGUUUGACAAUUUGUGUAGCUGAGUUAUCAUGGAAUAGCAUAGGCAAUUGUACCAAAAUAUGUGUGUCAGUGGAGAAAUAGCAUUUAAUUAUUUACAUUCACAAGAUGUGAUAGUUGUGCCGCGGUUUUCUGUACAUUCUGUACCACAGCCUUGUUUCAGGUUUGAAAAUAAAACAGUUCACUAAAUAAUCAUAGCCUAGCUACACAGCUUUGUAUUGCAGUGUACUCAACUCAGAUUAAUAGGAUAUGAGUGUUACGUUUUUGACAUUCUAAUUAUCACCUCAUGUAUAGUUGCUCACAGUUGGUGUAACUUAGUUGUCAUUGAUGAAAUGCUGCUAUUCUAAACUGUGCAUUUGUUGUGUUAAGGGUGGGAUGUAGCAUUUUGUUAUGGUCACAAAUUGGUACAUGUUUUUAUGUCUGUGACUUUUUUUCCUGAUCUCUUUCGCAUUUCCUAGGAAGGAAAGUUUACAACCAAAGGGUGUAUUCACUACCUGUGGUAUUUGGGUCAUUACAAAGUCCACAACUGUCUACAUGUUUUAUGAGUCCAGUAGAUACCAUUCUUUAAAAUUGUUAUCAGGUGAAUACUGAAGGAAACCAGGGUUGGAGCUUUAAUCUAACACAUGCCUACCUGCAUGCGAUAGUAGGAAUCACAAUUUGUAGUUUUUAUUUGUGUCCUUGGCAUGACAUUGCAAAUCACAGAUUCAAAUCAAAGAACAAAUUCAAAUCAAAGAGUUCCUCGUAACUUCUUCCACACAGUCAUUCAACCUAAUUUCUGCCACACAUCCUAGAGUGCACAUUGUCAUUGCUGUAAACAUCAGUUUAAAGAGUAUCAGUACAUUUAUACUGAAAUUAAUCAUAUACAAAAGUAAGUCAAGGUUAAGAUAUGUUUUAAGUACAAGAGUGCAGAAAUGUAAUGUUACACAAUCUAUGAAGUUAACUUCUUGUUACUGCCCUGAAAUGAGAAGGGUGGUGGUUCUGAUCAACAUGAAAAACUGGGCACCAUUGAGAGGUCUUAGGUCUGUGCAUAGGUCUGUAAAUCGCCUCUUUAAAUACAAUAUGUGUUUGCUGAAACAAUCAACUUACAAAAUAGUCCAUAAAAUAAGGACAACAGUGAAGCAGACAUUAACCAGGGUAUAGCAGCUCACUAGGACCAACCUGUAGGUUUUCUCACUCAAAUUCUGCAAGAAUCAAAA